rnacentral:rRNA from 1 species
AUUGAACGCUGGCGGCAGGCCUAACACAUGCAAGUCGAACGAGUGGCGGACGGGUGAGUAAUGUCUGGGAAACUGCCUGAUGGAGGGGGAUAACUACUGGCAACGGUAGCUAAUACCGCAUACCAUCGGAUGUGCCCAGAUGGGAUUAGCUAGUCGGUGGGGUCAAGGCUCACCUAGGCGACGAUCCCUAGCUGGUCUGAGAGGAUGACCCGAAACACUGGAACUGCGAGACGGUCCAGAGUACUACGGGAGGCAGAAGUGGGGAAUAGUGAACAGUGGGCGCAGGCCUGAUGCAGCCAGGCGGCGUGUAUGAGGAAGGCCUUCGGGUGGGAAAUUACUUUCAGCGGGGAGACGUUUCCCGCAGAAGAAGCACCGGCUAACUCCGAGCCAGCCGCCGCGGUAAU